CAAUUGUUUAUGUUUGGGUUUCUGCUGAGCCCAUUUUGCUGAGACACAUGCUAUCUGCAGGCUGUAGCUGCCGGUUAGCUCCACUAAGAAUGAAAGAAACGUGAAAAUUUGAGAUAAAAUUAAGAAAUAAGAGAGAAAGAAGAUAGAGAAGAAGAUAAAGGAUUAUUUAGCCCCCUCUGGGAUGUCAGCUCACGAGUUCUCACGGGUUGUCAAGACCAGAAUAAACCCUGUUUUAUGACUCUA